rnacentral:rRNA from 1 species
AUUGAACGCUGGCGGCAUGCCUUACACAUGCAAGUCGAACGGCAGCGCGGGAGCAAUCCUGGCGGCGAGUGGCGAACGGGUGAGUAAUACAUCGGAACGUGCCCAAUCGUGGGGGAUAACGCAGCGAAAGCUGUGCUAAUACCGCAUACGAUCUACGGAUGAAAGCAGGGGAUCUCAAGACCUUGCGCGAAUGGAGCGGCCGAUGGCAGAUUAGGUAGUUGGUGGGGUAAAGGCUCACCAAGCCGUCGAUCUGUAGCUGGUCUGAGAGGACGACCAGCCACACUGGAACUGAGACACGGCCCAGACUCCUACGGGAGGCAGCAGUGGGGAAUUUUGGACAAUGGGCGAAAGCCUGAUCCAGCCAUGCCGCGUGCAGGAUGAAGGCCUUCGGGUUGUAAACUGCUUUUGUAGGGAACGAAACGCUGUUUUCUAAUAAAGAGGGCUAAUGACGGUACCGUAAGAAUAAGCACCGGCUAACUACGUG